rnacentral:rRNA from 1 species
CCCCGCAAGGGGAGUGGCAGACGGGUGAGUAACGCGUGGGAAUCUACCGUACCCUACGGAAUAGCUCCGGGAAACUGGAAUUAAUACCGUAUACGCCCUACGGGGGAAAGAUUUAUCGGGGUAUGAUGAGCCCGCGUUGGAUUAGCUAGUUGGUGGGGUAAAGGCCUACCAAGGCGACGAUCCAUAGCUGGUCUGAGAGGAUGAUCAGCCACAUUGGGACUGAGACACGGCCCAAACUCCUACGGGAGGCAGCAGUGGGGAAUAUUGGACAAUGGGCGCAAGCCUGAUCCAGCCAUGCCGCGUGAGUGAUGAAGGUCUUAGGAUUGUAAAGCUCUUUCACCGAUGAAGAUAAUGACGGUAGUCGGAGAAGAAGCCCCGGCUAACUUCGUGCCAGCCGCCGC